ensembl:lncRNA
AGCUGUUUUGAGUUCUGUUUUUGGAUUGCUGCUGCUGCUGCUAAGUCACUUCAGUCAUGUCCGACUCUGUGCAACCCCAUAGACGUCAGCCCACCAGGCUCCCCCAUCCUUGGGAUUCUCCAGAGUGAAGACGGUGUGCAGAGUGAAGGUACAGGCAGAAACGCUUCACAGUUCGUGUAUUCCAAGAACAGAGAUGCUCCGCCAGCUCACUCUUCAACCUUGUUCCCAGCAGUCGCUUCAGUCGUGUCCGACUCUGUGAGACCCCUUAGACGGCAGCCCACCAGGCCCCGGCGUCCCUGGGAUUCUCCAGGCAAGAACACGAGUGGGUUGCCACUUCCUCCUCCAAUGCAUGAAAGUAAAAAGUGAAAGUGAAGUCGCUCAUUCGUGUCCGACUCUUAGCGACCCCAUGGACUGCAGCCUACCAGGCUCCUCUGUCCAUGGGAUUUUCCAGGCAAGAGUACUGGAGUGGGGUGCCAUUGCCUUCUCCCAACAUGAAGAAUAAUUAAGGUAAUUGGGAGAUAAAAGGAACUGCCUAAUUUGGAAAUAAAGAUUUAACUGUGGAGUUUAGGUCUCUUCAGAGUCACUCAUUGACUUGUGAAAA